rnacentral:rRNA from 1 species
AGUGAACGCUGGCGGUAGGCCUAACACAUGCAAGUCGAACGGCAGCACAGGAGAGCUUGCUCUCUGGGUGGCGAGUGGCGGACGGGUGAGGAAUACAUCGGAAUCUACUCUGUCGUGGGGGAUAACGUAGGGAAACUUACGCUAAUACCGCAUACGACCUACGGGUGAAAGCAGGGGAUCUUCGGACCUUGCGCGAUUGAAUGAGCAGAUGUCGGAUUAGCUAGUUGGCGGGGUAAAGGCCCACCAAGGCGACGAUCCGUAGCUGGUCUGAGAGGAUGAUCAGCCACACUGGAACUGAGACACGGUCCAGGCUCCUACGGGAGGCAGCAGUGGGGAAUAUUGGACAAUGGGCGCAAGCCUGAUCCAGCCAUACCGCGUGGGUGAAGAAGGCCUUCGGGUUGUAAAGCCCUUUUGUUGGGAAAGAAAUCCAGCUGGCUAAUACCCGGUUGGGAUGACGGUACCCAAAGAAUAAGCACCGGCUAACUUCGUGCCAGCAGCCGCCGUAA